UACGAAGGGGGCUAGCGUUGCUCGGAAUUACUGGGCGUAAAGGGCGCGUAGGCGGCACUGUUAGUCAGGCGUGAAAGUCCUGGGCUCAACCUGGGAACUGCGCUUGAUACGGCAGAGCUAGAGGAUGGAAGAGGCUCGCGGAAUUCCCAGUGUAGAGGUGAAAUUCGUAGAUAUCGGGAAGAACACCGGUGGCGAAGGCGGCGAGCUGGUCCAUUACUGACGCUGAGGCGCGACAGCGUGGGGAGCAAACAGG
rnacentral:rRNA from 1 species